rnacentral:rRNA from 1 species
AUUGAACGCUGGCGGCAUGCCUUACACAUGCAAGUCGAACGGUAACAGGUUAAGCUGACGAGUGGCGAACGGGUGAGUAAUAUAUCGGAACGUGCCCAGUCGUGGGGGAUAACUGCUCGAAAGAGCAGCUAAUACCGCAUACGACCUGAGGGUGAAAGCGGGGGAUCGCAAGACCUCGCGCGAUUGGAGCGGCCGAUAUCAGAUUAGGUAGUUGGUGGGGGAAAGGCUCACCAAGCCAACGAUCUGUAGCUGGUCUGAGAGGACGACCAGCCACACUGGGACUGAGACACGGCCCAGAGUCCUACGGGAGGCAGCAGUGGGGAAUUUUGGACAAUGGGCGCAAGCCUGAUCCAGCCAUGCCGCGUGCGGGAAGAAGGCCUUCGGGUUGUAAACCGCUUUUGUCAGGGAAGAAAAGGUUCUGGUUAAUACCUGGGACUCAUGACGGUACCUGAAGAAUAAGCACCGGCUAACUACGUGCCAGCAGCCGCAGUAA